rnacentral:tRNA from 1 species
GUUUCCGUAGUGUAGUGGUUAUCACGUUCGCUUUACACGCGAAAGGUCCCCGGUUCCAGCCCGGGCGGAAACA